AACGAACGCUGGCGGCGUGCCUAACACAUGCAAGUCGAGCGCGAAAGUUCCUUCGGGAGCGAGUAGAGCGGCGGACGGGUGGGUAAUACAUAGGUAAUCUACCUUCGAGCUUGGGAUAACCCCGCGAAAGUGGGGCUAAUACCGGAUAAGACCACGUAAUUAUUUUACGGGGUAAAAAGUGGCUUAUUUUUUAAAUGAGCUAUCACUUGAGGAUGAGCCUGUGGCCUAUCAGCUAGUUGGCGGGGUAAGAGCCCACCAAGGCUAUGACGGGUAGCUGGUCUGAGAGGACGACCAGCCACAAGGGGACUGAGACACGGCCCAGACUCCUACGGGAGGCAGCAGUUGGGAAUAUUGGGCAAUGGGCGAAAGCCUGACCCAGCGACGCCGCGUGGGCGAUGAAGGCCUUCGGGUUGUAAAGCCCUGUCAUGCGGAAAGAACGACCCUGAGACGCAUACUCUCAGGGAGUGACGGUACCGCAGGAGGAAGCACCGGCUAACUCCGUGCCAGCCGCCGCAGUAA
rnacentral:rRNA from 1 species